AUUGAACGCUGGCGGCAUGCUUUACACAUGCAAGUCGAACGGUAACAGGGUGCUUGCACCGCUGACGAGUGGCGAACGGGUGAGUAAUGCGUCGGAACGUGCCGAGUAGUGGGGGAUAACGCAGCGAAAGUUGUGCUAAUACCGCAUACGUACUGAGGUAGAAAGUGGGGGACCUUCGGGCCUCACGCUAUUCGAGCGGCCGACGUCUGAUUAGCUAGUAGGUGAGGUAAGAGCUCACCUAGGCGACGAUCAGUAGCGGGUCUGAGAGGAUGAUCCGCCACACUGGGACGGAGACACGGCCCAGACUCCUACGGGAGGCAGCAGUGGGGAAUUUUGGACAAUGGGCGCAAGCCUGAUCCAGCCAUGCCGCGUGUCUGAAGAAGGCGUUCGGGUUGUAAAGGACUUUUGUCAGGGAGGAAAUCCUAGUGGCUAAUAACUACUGGGGAUGACAGUACCUGAAGAAUAAGCACCGGCUAACUACGUGCCAGCCGCCGCAGUAAAAC
rnacentral:rRNA from 1 species